ensembl:lncRNA
UGAAAACUGUUUGGGUAAUCAACUGCUUCAUUUGAUGAGCAUCAGGUGAUCUGGAUUUUCUUCCACCUGAACCUCAUUUGCUGAUUUGGAACACCAGGCAUUUUCUGUGGUGGACAUUUUCAGUGAGUGUAUUCUUUUUGAAGUUAUCGAGCAUUCUAGCUGUCAGAUGUCUCUCCUGAAAUGCCUAGUUAGUGUCCCAGUGCUGUAGAGAAAGCUACCCUGGAUUUUGCCUGCUGACCGAAUUUAUUGCCUUGGCUUGAUUUUACAAACCUGAGUUGUUUGUCUGCAGCUUCCUUCACAUGAUAUUCCAGCCCAGGACUCAUGGAAGGUGUUUUACCCUGCCUGUGCUAGUGCCCCUGACAUUACCAAGAAUACCCUGGAAGUGGUACAGACAGAAUAGUGCUGAGAAGCACAUAACAGAUCCAUGGGAAGAGUGUCAAGAUACAAAGGGAUGUGUUCUUCACUGGAGGUAAUUUCUUUCUCAUUUUCACAUUUCUUAACUUGCCAUUUCCAAUUGUGUCACAACAUGUUUGGAAAGACUUUUCACAAAAUAUGGCCCCAGCCCUGAAGUCAGAAAUAUGUGUGCAAACUUUCUGUCCAUGUAAGGAUCCUUUUUGUUCCAGGGACUCUCUGCAGUGGUACUGGGGUCCUUUCUCACAUGUCAGACUGCCACAGGUGAAAUAGGGAACUUGUGAAGAAGGCACAUUUAAUCUUCUGCUUCCUAGAUUAUUCUGGGGAGGUUUACAAACAAAAUUCAUAAAAAGGAGUUGAGAAAAGUAGGUUGUUCCAUCCUGAAAAUUCACUGUUCUUGUGCCUCGUUUUCCUUUGUGCAAGGGUCACGUGAAGCAGGGAAAAUAUGUUAUCCCUCCCUGUUGGGGAAUUCUUUAGAGGAGGGGAAGGAAGUUUGCUGCAAAAAGAAAAUUACUCAGAAGAAUAGUUUGGUUACUUUGACAGUAGAAUAUUGGUGGUGGAGACACAGCCUAGGGCUGAUCUAGGCAGGAAUUUGAUUUCAUUUGCCUGAAAAACUACCAGUGGAAAGAGCAGUUCCCUAGCUGAAAUUUAAAGAAACUGUGGAAAUGACUUCUGGAGGGAAAUAUAACAUAUUUAGAAUGAAGAAUAAACCCACGUGAAAGAAAGAAUGCUCUCUCUUC